rnacentral:rRNA from 1 species
UACGGAGGGGGCUAGCGUUGUUCGGAAUUACUGGGCGUAAAGCGCGCGUAGGCGGCUUUGUAAGUUAGAGGUGAAAGCCCGGAGCUCAACUCCGGAAUUGCCUUUAAGACUGCAUCGCUAGAAUCAUGGAGAGGUGAGUGGAAUUCCGAGUGUAGAGGUGAAAUUCGUAGAUAUUCGGAAGAACACCAGUGGCGAAGGCGGCCUGCUGGGCAGUGGGACUCGAAAGGGUCCUUCAACCGACACUGAUGCGCGACAGCGUGGGGAGCAAACAGG